ensembl:lncRNA
AAACUAUCUUUAUCUUCGCUCUUUAUUCUCCUUUAUUGGGGUUCUCAGUCAGAUCUGACUCCAACAGAGGAGUAGCCAUGUGUAUCCUUCCCAAUUCCACCGUCUCAUCUAGUUAUAGUCAUUUCUGGCUUGAAGAAUCCAAGAUGGUGAAGGGUCAUAACGCCUACUCAGAACUCCCACUAUUGUUCUUCUAAGCAUUGUUGCAAAGAAGUCACACAGUUCUUUUCAUUGUUUAUCAUGGUUCAUGGUGCCUCGGAAAAUAGUGUUACUCAGCCUUCCCCUAUGCUAUCAGAAUCCAGCGGGUGUUUAGAAGUCAGGUCUGGGCUCAUCAUUGGGGUGGUGACUAACCAAUCGGUGAUGGUGAAAGAUACCUUGUACCAAACCCCAACCAAUCACUGUUCCAUUAUCAACGGCCCCCGCCCCCCCUGCAAUGUAACCUCUCCUCUCUCUCACACCUCCGACCUUUGCAGACUCAGUUGUCAUGGCUGCGAAUGGCUCAUUACAGAUCCGCUAGUUGAGGAGCCCAUUCAUCAUUCAAGAGCACAAGCUUGCAUCCAACUCAAGAGCUCGAGGGAAGUGGCUCUCCAAGAGCCUUGGCCUCAUCCCUACAAUCAUCCAAUGAGGUCCUCCAUUGAGCGCCAUUGCUCAUAGUGUGGAAUAUGAUGUAAAGUACUCCUUUUCUCAAAGCACUGUCAAAAGUCUUUACCUGUUAUAAUUCUGUCAUUGAAGCCUCACCUCUGUUUUACUGACCAUAUCUUCUUCAAUUUCAUCUUCAAUUGUUCUCUUUUUUUCCUUGUUGUUUUUGUAUGAGUGAAAAGGAAAUUAAGUUAAAUUUACGAAUAGAUCAGAUGAAAUUUGGAGAAACAUAGAAAUGCUGCCCUGACAUAUUUAAAAUCUAGGUGUGAAAUAAGUGCGUGUGUGUGUGUGUGUUAUAGAUGCUACAAUUAUGUAGUGUGAAGAAGGCGUUCAUCUAGCCCUUCAUUUCAUAGCAAUCCAAAAGAUAGAAUGAUAUAAUGUUUGGUGAUGUUCUUUUUGCUAAUCAACAGAUGUCUUGUGCAGAUCAAAAUGGAUAAUGGUUGUAUGCUAGCAAAAACUACUGUAUGAGUAUCAAAAGCCUGUCGCUUUUGAUACACAUACAGUAGUAAUCACUCAAGCACAGUUUAGAUAAUUUGCUCAAGUAUUGCUUUACAAAUGAAACUAAAUGAUUUUCAGUAUGUAUGUUUUUGUAGAUUUGCAUCUUUAGGAGCAACACAUGUAUGUAUUGUAAGCUGAGAUUUGAUAUGUGCUAUUAAAUAACUAGUUUGACAAACCAAUCAAAGAGAUCAUUGUGAUGCUGGUAACAGAUUUUUUCCUUCUUUGUAAACAGUGGUUAAGCCUUAAAAUGAUGGGGGCCAGAAUCAAUUUCCUGGUGUGAUAUGCAUACCAGAUAAGAGCCUUUUCAAUGAUUUUCCAGUCAAGCUUGUUUUGGUUUCCAAUGUUGUUGUGCCAAUUUCAGUAGUGACCCUGAGCACGCAAAUCCAGCCUGUAAAAACAAGGAAGGUCAAAACUCUCAGGUGUUGUGCCCGCCUGAGUGCUUUGAAGCCAAGUGUGUUAUCAUUUUCACCCAGAGAGAAGCUGUGAUACUAGCAGAGGAUGAAGGUUAGUAGACAGCACAUCACUUGGAGUGCUUUAAAGCCAAACCUGAUUUGUAUUGUAGCAUUGCCACUCUGCCUUGUUUUGCACAUUCAUAUGAGGAGAGUGGUGUGCUGAUGCUCCUUCUGCUGAAUCAGAUGGUUGAGAUUUAGCCUCUUCAAAGCACAAACUCACAUUUUCUGCCACCAGCGCCGGUAGCACAAACAGCUCAAGCGGCCUAUUGAUGCCUCAGACACAGAGGAGAAGCCACUGUUGGCCAUGCUAACAUUUUGUAACCAGUAGAGGGAUUGUUUCACCUGAGAUUGUCCAAUUGAUGGUGAUUGCAGAGAAUACAUUUAUAGGCCCUGUGACGCUAUUUCUUAAACUGAGUCAAGUUAUGGCGUGAUCACACUGCACAACUUUCAAAUUUGUCACACACGAAAUGAUACACAUGAAUGAUCCAAUCCAAAGAGUCAAAGUUGUUUGUGCACUGAUUCGCAGUGGAAAAAAACACAAGAAGAAAAAGAAAAUAGUAUGGGUGAGAAGACGGAUAAGGAUAUGCGGCCAGCGAAGAUUAUUUUUGCACUGAAAACAUGAAACUGUCUGCUCGUAUUGUGGUUCAGCAAGGAUGUAUGGUUACAUGCACUGGAACAGUAGUGUGUGUGUGUGUUCUGAUGGAGGCUAUAGGUUAUUAUUGUGCCGCUCCACACACACAGAUGCCUGAUUAGACUGGGUGCAAAGAGCUACUGCAGAUGAAGCAGAGGAGAGAAAGAGAAAAGAAGCAGUGUCUGCUCUCAUGGCUGAAGCUUGUUCCUGGCUCCUGACCUGUCGGCGACACAGCCAGAUAUUUAGCCUGCUAGAUAUCCAGCAGACGUCAGCGACACACCAGCCAGCUGUCCACAGGCUUCUGGAUCA